AGCCCUUGUACGUGUGGUCCCCCUGGAGCACCGCUGGGAGUAAGCCGAGCCCCGAGCUGCCCAUAGGACGUGGUGCCAAAAGGUGUGGGGGUCCUGCUGGGUUUUCUGCUUACACCCCCAAAAUCAGAGGCAGGCAGUGUUUCUUCUGCUUCUCAGGCCCUGGAGGAACCACAUUUGGGAGGUGACACUGGAAUUGGAGACUGGUGGCAGCCCCUUCGAUAACUUCAGAUCUGUUUUGAAUAUCUCCUUGCCCAACCACCUCUGUAGCUUAAUAGUAUGAAUAGUGAACGUGAAUAAAUGAAUUCCAGAUGACAGAUCUGCAUACCAGUAGUGAUGAAACCUGGGACCCCUUCCCAAGCCACAAUCCACAAGGAAUGUGAAGCCUGGGCAUUCAUAGCCUGAUGAGAGCAGGAGCUGCUGCACCUCCCCAAAUCCCAGAGACAUCUGCUAGUGGGGUAUCAAGACUACAAUGGAUGAGGUUAAGUUGGUGCUUGUGCAUUGCCUAGACAGAAAGAUGUGAGGGAGAUGCUGGUCGCUCGCUGCAUGUCCUGGAGCUGGGCUGGUGGAGCUGGGACCAGAAGGUAAUUUUUCCAGAAAGUUGAUUACUAGAUUGGCCCACAGUGCGUUGGAUACAUUACAAAAUGCUGCUCUUUCUACAGUAUGUUGUCUCAUCCUUAAUGGGUGGUUUCUCUUAAAACUGAGAGCAAGUCCUUUGUGUGCUCAGAGAGGAUUCUCCAUCACUUGCGCCUGAAAUGAAAGAGAAUUUAUGGAAUGGGGAGCAUGAGCAAAUACCAAAGUGCAUGUGUGUGAGCUCUAGGAAGAAAACUGGAGUGGAGGCAAGUGUUAUGAGUGGCUUUGGUGCUCAGCUGGAAGGUGAAAGGAGACAAAGCUUCGAUGUACUGCUAUGGAGCUGGGCUGGAUAGCAGAGACCUAUACGUAAUUCGUAGCUCACCAGAGUCUGCAGGGCUGAGACUGAGAAGUGCUGCAUCAAAGGAGCUGAGCACUGAAGUCAUGGCUGAGAAGGAAAUGAGGGUCUAAAGUCCAAAACUGGAAACUUCCCAGGGCUCCCUACCCACCUCCCACCUGAUGCUGUGAGUACCUCUUCUCAGUCUGGUUGAUCCUGGAGCCUUUAGGAUGGCUGGAGGUUCUACCUCUGCCCUGAUCUUAGCAGCUUGGAGUUUAUCUAAUGACUGGGGUGAUCAGGACAGAGAAACCAAGUGCAUGCAUGUCUCUGCUCAGCUGGUCAGCCUCCCCAGUGGGACGAGACCUCCUUGGAAAAUCCAGCUGUGGUUCUGUCCCUCAGCCAUGUAGCUGCAGGACACGAUGUCCUGACUCUCCUCCUGCUAAGGCUUGUGUUGAAACACUUGCCCAAGAGAAUAAGCAGCCUGGCCCACUUCCCUUUUUUUACACAGCCUGAAAGUUCCCUGCCACAACUCCACCUCUGAAACAAGGCCACUGUGCAAAAGAUCAAGACUGAUGGGCAAGGAAAACAACGAGUGGGACAACGGUCAGCUGCAGUGCUUGCUGCUCAUCAUCCCAGCACCUGGGGACUUUGCCUCCUUCUGUGCACUGCAGGGAUGCUGCCCACUGGGUCAGGAUUUCCCUUGGGAGAGCCCAGCACCAUCCACGUCUCCCUGCAAGGACUCGCUGGGCUCAAGCCACGCCAGAUUUCCAGCUUGGACUCUCCACAGCCAAAGCGAACCAAACCCUUCAAUACUUUUGAACACCCUUGGACACCGUGAUGAUGAGCCCAGAAAUGCUUGGAUUAUUAGCUGCUAAUAACUGUGGAGGUAUGCCAGCAUUGGGAACAGCUUGUGCUGUCAUCAGAAGAUGGGGAAAAUGGCUGGCUGAGCAGUCAAAUGCCUUCAUGUAGAUGUUUCUGAAGAGCCUCUGCUGGUGUGCUCAAAAUGGUGGAUACAGCUACAGGGCUCUCACGUGGCUCCUACUUAUUUCUGAUCCAGCACUGAAGUCCUGGCCCAUGUGCAAGUCAAUCUAGCUUUAUCCAAUUUACUCUUUUUCCUAUAUGUCAGGCAACGCCUUAGUCUGAAGUGCGAAGGAAUUUGCUUCUGGUAUGCUGAGAAUAUGGUUUUCUGAUGAUUCCUUGCUAAAAUGUUUCUGACUGGGGCUCUGGCCUCUUGCUUCCUGGGGUACUUGCCUCACUUUGCACUGACUUGCAGAGAAAAAUAUGUGAUGGCAGUUUGAAGGAUUUGCAUUGUGCUUUACAUCCUGCUACCAAGCCAGAUGCUUUUCCCCUAGGCAGAUUUUUUUUUUUUUUUUUUUUUUUUUAACCUCCCCAAGUUAAGACUUUUAAAUGAAUUCCUACUGGUAGAGUUUCCUCCCUUCUUUUGUGUUCUGCAAGGAGCUGGCAGUGGGCUCAGGACUUGUAAUCCACAGAUGGCCUGAUGGCUCGUGAUCCAAAGCUCUAUGAAGUAAGAGGGAGAAGGAAGGGCAGGGGAAAUUUCUGUGUGUUUAAGAGGGACAAGGAUCUGCCCUAGCAGUGUACGAUGUCGAAGCACAUCUGCUUUUGUCUAAACUGAAGUACAUACACAACACCCCUUCAUAAUGGAGCUAUAACAUUAAUUAGAGCUGAUAGGGAAUUUCCCAAUCUUUGAUAUACAGUGAUUUUUGCAGGCUGAAUUUUCCAGUUGAAAACACAUUAAAAGACUGCAAGGCUUUUAGAAAAUCAUGAAA